GAGACCCGGAGUCAAGAUUCCAAGGAGCAAGCUGACGAUUACACAAGCCAUUACUCCUCCCUAGGGGAGGGGAGGCUGCCAGAGAAGGCCACCAUGUCUACUCCUAGCUAGAGCUCUCCCACAGAGUACUGAGAAGUCUACAGCAUGCCCUGAAUGGGCCACUUCGCACACUCCACAACUCCCACUGCCUUGCCUCUACAAGCUAUCAAGAACCAACACCCCUUUGCUGCCAUUUCUGCCAACUAUUAAGGCAGAGCCAGACCCAACCUCUUCAAACCACCUCUUACUUACCAUCAACAUUCUGGUCAGUGUAUUGUAGAAUAUAGAACCCCAAGUUCUCAUAAUGGCUUUUUAGGCUUUUACCCACAGUCCCAAGCCUCCACUCCUCUUCCUUCUCCUUCUAGUCUCCUUGCUAGGAAGGGAAAUCCUCCUGUACUCUGGUGGCCUUUGAGCUACUGUUGCUUCCAUCUGGAACCUGCUGUCCCCAAAUACUCACGCCUCAUGCCCCAACUCCCUUCUCGUUUCCACCUGUCAGUGCUACCCUAAUACCUCAACCCCAUUGUUCCCUAUGACCCCCUUAACUGCAUGACUUUUGGUCACAAGCUUAGCUUCAGCAGAGGGAGACAAGCCUCUCUUUAGUGUGUAUCUUCAUCCUUCUAGAAGGUGGAAGGUCCUCAUCAGUCUCCCCAUCAAUUUUCCCAACCUCUGUGUUUGACAAUUGCGCAAGAACCACAGACCACCAUCUACUGCAGUCUUUGUGAGUCUUCCCCGUGAAAAGAAAAAGAUCCCUAAUUUCA